GGGAGUACGGUCNCCAAGAUUUCAAAACUCANANGGAAUNGAACGGGGNCCCAGCACAACNCGGUNGAGCAUGUGGUUUAAUUGGAAGCNACGCCGCAGAACCUUACCAGCUCUUGACAUGUCCCGUAUGGGUUCCGGAGACGGGAUCCNUCAGUUCGGCUGGGCGGGAACACAAGGNGNCNGCAUGGCUGUCGUCAGCUCNUGUCCGUGAGAUGNUNGGUUAAGUCCCGCAACGAGCGCAACCCUCGCCCCUAGUUGCCAUCAUUCAGUUGGGCACUCUAGGGGGACUGCCCGGUGAUAAGCCGCGAGGAAGGUGGGGAUGACGUCAAGUCCUCAUGGCCCUUACGGGCUGGGCUACACACGUGCUACAAUGGUGGUGACAGUGGGAUGCGAAGGGGCGACCCCGAGCAAAUCUCCAAAAGCCAUCUCAGUUCGGAUUGCACUCUGCAACUCGAGUGCAUGAAGGUGGAAUCGCUAGUAAUCGUAGAUCAGCACGCUACGGUGAAUACGUUCCCGGGCCUUGUACACACCGCCCGUCACACCAUGGGAGUUGGCUUUACCCGAAGGCGUUUCGCUAACCGNCAAGGAGGCAGACGACCACGGUAGGGUCAGCGANCUGGAGGUGAAGUCGUAANCAAGGUACC
rnacentral:rRNA from 1 species